rnacentral:rRNA from 1 species
CCUACGGGAGGCAGCAGUGGGGAAUAUUGGGCAAUGGGCGCAAGCCUGACCCAGCAACGCCGCGUGAAGGAAGACGGCUUUCGGGGUGUAAACUUCUUUUCUCAGGGGCGAAGACCGUGACGGUACCUGAGGUUUACGCCACGGCUAACUACGUGCCAGCAGCCACGGUGAGACGUAGGUGGCAAGCGUUAUCCGGAUUUAUUGGGUGUAAAGGGCGUGUAGGCGGAUUUUUAAGUCAGCGGUCAAAUCGUGGGGCUCAACCCCAGCCAGCCGUUGAAACUGGGGAUCUAGAGUGUGCGAGAGGCAGGCGGAAUGCGUGGUGUAGCGGUGAAAUGCAUAGAUAUGACGCAGAACCCCGAUUGCGAAGGCAGCAUACCGGUGCACAACUGACGCUCAGGCACGAAAGCGUGGGUAUCGAACAGGAUUAGAUACCCGAGUAGUC